rnacentral:misc_RNA from 1 species
UUUCCGUAGGUGAACCUGCGGAGGGAUCAUUACUGAGUGAGGGCCUCCCCGGCCCGACCUCCAACCCUCUGUGAACACAACUUGUUGCUUCGGGGGCGACCCUGCCGUCCGCGGCUGAGCGCUCCCGGAGGCCUUCAAACACUGCAUCUUCGCGUCGGAGUUUAAGUAAAUUAAACAAAACUUUCAACAACGGAUCUCUUGGUUCUGGCAUCGAUGAAGAACGCAGC